GGUAUUUGAAGAUGCGGUUGACCAUGGUGUGUACGCUUUAUUUAUGACGUAGGACACAUGGUCUACUUCUUCUCAAUAUCACAUCUCGCC
ensembl:miRNA